rnacentral:rRNA from 14 species
UGGAUCAGAUUGAACGCUGGCGGCAGGCCUAACACAUGCAAGUCGAGCGGUAGAGAGAAGCUUGCUUCUCUUGAGAGCGGCGGACGGGUGAGUAAUGCCUAGGAAUCUGCCUGGUAGUGGGGGAUAACGUUCGGAAACGGACGCUAAUACCGCAUACGUCCUACGGGAGAAAGCAGGGGACCUUCGGGCCUUGCGCUAUCAGAUGAGCCUAGGUCGGAUUAGCUAGUUGGUGGGGUAAUGGCUCACCAAGGCGACGAUCCGUAACUGGCCGAGAGGAUGAUCAGUCACACCGGAACUGAGACACGGUCCGGACUCCUACUGGAGGCAGCAGGGGGGAAUAUUGGACAAUGGGCGC